UACGUAGGGGGCUAGCGUUGUCCGGAAUCAUUGGGCGUAAAGCGCGUGUAGGCGGUCCGGUAAGUCCGCUGUGAAAGUCGGGGGCUCAACCCUCGGAUGCCGGUAGAUACUGUCGGGCUUGAGUACGGAAGAGGCGAGUGGAAUUCCUGGUGUAGCGGUGAAAUGCGCAGAUAUCGGGAGGAACACCAAUGGCGAAGGCAGCUCGCUGGGACGUUACUGACGCUGAGACGCGAAAGCGUGGGGAGCAAACAGG
rnacentral:rRNA from 1 species